rnacentral:rRNA from 1 species
GUGGGGAAUAUUGCGCAAUGGGGGAAACCCUGACGCAGCGACGCCGCGUGAGCGAAGAAGGCCUUAGGGUUGUAAAGCUCUGUUUUAAGGGACGAAUGUCGUGGGGAGUAAUAUGCUCUGCGAAUGACGGUACCUUAAGAGGAAGCCCCGGCUAACUACGUGCCAGCAGCCGCGGUAAGACGUAGGGGGCGAGCGUUGUCCGGAAUUACUGGGCGUAAAGAGCACGUUAGCGGGAACUUAAGUCAGGUGUGAAAGACCGGGGCUCAACUCCGGGGUUGCACUUGAAACUGGGGUUCUUGAGGGCAGGAGAGGAAAGCAGAAGUCCUGGUGUAGCGGUGAAAUGCGUAGAAAUCAGGAGGAAUACCAGUGGCGAAGGCGGCUUUCUGGACUGACCCUGACGCUGAGGUGCGAAAGCGUGGGUAGCAAACAGGAUUAGAUACCCGUGUAGUCC